rnacentral:rRNA from 1 species
GCCGCGGUAAUACGUAGGGUGCAAGCGUUAAUCGGAAUUACUGGGCGUAAAAGCGUGCGCAGGCGGAUGAUUAAGUUAGGAGUGAAAUCCCCGGGCUCAACCUGGGAACUGCUUUUAWAGACAUGKGUCAUCUAGAGUUUGUCAGAGGGGGGUGGGAAUUCCAAGUGUAGCAGUGAAAUGCGUAGAGAUUUGGAGGAACACCGAUGGCGAAGGCAGCCCCUGGGAUAAAACUGACGCUCAGGCACGAAAGCGUGGGUAGCAAACAGGAUUAGAUACCCUGGUAGUCCACGCCCUAAACGAUGUUUACUUGCUGUUGGGGACAACCUUAGUAGCGAA